rnacentral:rRNA from 1 species
AAUUCGAUUAGUUUGAUCAUGGCUCAGGACGAACGCUGGCGGCGCGCUUAAUACAUGCAAGUCGAGCGAGAACCAGCCCUUCGGGGCUGGGGAAAGCGGCGAACGGGUGAGUAACACGUGGGUAAUCUGCCCUCGGCACCGGGAUAGCCCGGGGAAACCCGGAUUAAUACCGGAUAGCCUCUCGAGCUCUCGAGCUCGCGAGAAAAGGUAGCUUUGGCCUCUGGCCGAGGAGGAGCCCGCGGCGGAUUAGCUUGUUGGUGAGGUAACGGCCCACCAAGGCGACGAUCCGUAGCUGGUCUGAGAGGACGAUCAGCCACACUGGGACUGAGACACGGCCCAGACUCCUACGGGAGGCAGCAGUAGGGAAUCUUGCGCAAUGGGCGGAAGCCUGACGCAGCGACGCCGCGUGCGGGAAGAAGGCCUUCGGGUUGUAAACCGCUUUCAGGAGGGACGAAGCCACUCGGGUUAAUAGCCCAGAGGGUGACGGUACCUCCAGAAGAAGCCCCGGCUAACUACGUGCCAGCAGCCGCGGUAAUACGUAGGGGGCAAGCGUUGUCCGGAUUUAUUGGGCGUAAAGCGCGUGUAGGCGGCCAGGUAGGUCCGUUGUGAAAACUCGAGGCUCAACCUCGAGACGUCGACGGAAACCAUCUGGCUAGAGUCCGGAAGAGGAGAGUGGAAUUCCUGGUGUAGCGGUGAAAUGCGCAGAUAUCAGGAAGAAUAUCCGUGGCGAAGGCG